UGGAAAGGUGCGCGAUACAGGGUGACAGCCCCGUACACAAAAGCGCAUGUGCUGUGAGCUCGAUGAGUAGGGCGGGACACGUGGUAUCCUGUCUGAAUAUGGGGGGACCAUCCUCCAAGGCUAAAUACUCCUGACUGACCGAUAGUGAACCAGUACCGUGAGGGAAAGGCGAAAAGAACCCCGGCGAGGGGAGUGAAAAAGAACCUGAAACCGUGUACGUACAAGCAGUGGGAGCACAGGUUUACCUGUGUGACUGCGUACCUUUUGUAUAAUGGGUCAGCGACUUAUAUUCUGUAGCAAGGUUAACCGUAUAGGGGAGCCGGAGGGAAACCGAGUCUUAAUUGGGCGUUAAGUUGCAGGGUAUAGACCCGAAACCCGGUGAUCUAGCCAUGGGCAGGUUGAAGGUUGGGUAACACUAACUGGAGGACCGAACCGACUAAUGUUGAAAAAUUAGCGGAUGACCUGUGGCUGGGGGUGAAAGGCCAAUCAAACCGGGAGAUAGCUGGUUCUCCCCGAAAGCUAUUUAGGUAGCGCCUCGUGAAUUCAUCUCCGGGGGUAGAGCACUGUUUCGGCUAGGGGGCCAUCCCGGCUUACCAACCCGAUGCAAACUGCGAAUACCGGAGAAUGUUAUCACGGGAGACACACGGCGGGUGCUAACGUCCGUCGUGAAGAGGGAAACAACCCAGACCGCCAGCUAAGGUCCCAAAGUCAUGGUUAAGUGGGAAACGAUGUGGGAAGGCCCAGACAGCCAGGAUGUUGGCUUAGAAGCAGCCAUCAUUUAAAGAAAGCGUAAUAGCUCACUGGUCGAGUCGGCCUGCGCGGAAGAUGUAACGGGGCUAAACCAUGCACCGAAGCUGCGGCAGCGAACGUAUCACCCAAGACAACUUUACGGAGUUGACGAUUGACGGAGCGAAGCGACGUCAAAGCGUUCAUUAAAGUCGAGUUGGCUUAGGGAUACGUUCGUUGGGUAGGGGAGCGUUCUGUAAGCCUGUGAAGGUGUGUCGUGAGGCAUGCUGGAGGUAUCAGAAGUGCGAAUGCUGACAUAAGUAACGAUAAAGCGGGUGAAAAGCCCGCUCGCCGGAAGACCAAGGGUUCCUGUCCAACGUUAAUCGGGGCAGGGUGAGUCGACCCCUAAGGCGAGGCCGAAAGGCGUAGUCGAUGGGAAACGGGUUAAUAUUCCCGUACUUGGUGUUACUGCGAAGGGGGGACGGAGAAGGCUAUGUUGGCCGGGCGACGGUUGUCCCGGUUUAAGCGUGUAGGUGUGUGUUCCAGGUAAAUCCGGUUCACUUUAACACUGAGGCGUGACGACGAGGCACUACGGUGCUGAAGCAACAAAUGCCCUGCUUCCAGGAAAA
rnacentral:rRNA from 1 species